AUGCAAGCCUUCAGGGAUGUACUGGAAACUUGUAAUCUGGUGGACUUGGGGUUCCAAGGCCUCCCAUUCACAUAUGAUAAUAAACAGCGUCGAAACAGAAACGUUAAAGUGCGGUUGGAUCGAGCGGUGGCGGACAACAACUGGCGUAAUUUAUUCAGUGCUGCCAAGGUGGUCCAUCAGGUAUCACCUUGUUCUGACCAUCUUCCUAUUUUACUAAAGUGUGUUGCCGAUGAAGAAAAGGUAUACAGGCCGAGUUUUAGAAGGUAUGAAAUUUUCUGGGAAAGAGAUGCAAGUCUACAGGAAAGAAUUGCCAAUGCCUGGGAGGAGGCCGGUGCCAAGUUUAACCUUGGUGAUGUUCGGGAGGGGCUUAAGAGUUUGUUACUUAAUCUGUAUGCGUGGGGAAAGAAAAGGUUUGGUAACGUCACUAGAGAGCUUGAGAAGUCCAGAACUAAAUUAGAAGAGCUGCUCAAUAUGAAUGCGGACAGAGAUGAAAUAAAAAAGGUCUCUGACCAUAUGAAUGAAUUGUUGUACCAGGAGGAAAUGUUG
rnacentral:rRNA from 1 species